AACGAACGCUGGCGGCAGGCCUAACACAUGCAAGUCGAACGCCGUAGCAAUACGGAGUGGCAGACGGGUGAGUAACGCGUGGGAACAUACCCCUCGGUUCGGAAUAACUCAGGGAAACUUGAGCUAAUACCGGAUACGUCCGAGGUUUUAAUCGACCUUGGAGAAAGAUUUAUCGCCGGAGGAUUGGCCCGCGUCUGAUUAGCUUGUUGGUGAGGUAAUGGCUCACCAAGGCGACGANCAGUAGCUGGUCUGAGAGGAUGAUCAGCCACAUUGGGACUGAGACACGGCCCAAACUCCUACGGGAGGCAGCAGUGGGGAAUAUUGGACAAUGGGCGAAAGCCUGAUCCAGCCAUGCCGCGUGAGUGAUGAAGGCCUUAGGGUUGUAAAGCUCUUUGCCCGGGAAGAUAAUGACGGUACCGGGAGAAUAAGCCCCGGCUAACUACGUGCC
rnacentral:rRNA from 1 species